rnacentral:rRNA from 1 species
CCUACGUGAGGCUGCAGUGGGGAAUAUUGGACAAUGGGGGGAACCCUGAUCCAGCCAUGCCGCGUGUGUGAAGAAGGCCCUCGGGUUGUAAAGCACUUUCAGUGAGGAAGAACGCCUGGUGGUUAAUACCCAUCAGGAAAGACAUCACUCACAGAAGAAGCACCGGCUAACUCCGUGCCAGCAGCCGCGGUAAUACGGAGGGUGCGAGCGUUAAUCGGAAUUACUGGGCGUAAAGCGCGCGUAGGUGGCUUGAUAAGCCGGUUGUGAAAGCCCCGGGCUCAACCUGGGAACGGCAUCCGGAACUGUCAAGCUAGAGUGCAGGAGAGGAAGGUAGAAUUCCCGGUGUAGCGGUGAAAUGCGUAGAGAUCGGGAGGAAUACCAGUGGCGAAGGCGGCCUUCUGGACUGACACUGACACUGAGGUGCGAAAGCGUGGGUAGCAAACAGGAUUAGAUACCCCGGUAGUC